rnacentral:lncRNA from 1 species
CUAAUUUAAAGUCAAAAUAUCAAAAAACUACUCAAUUUUUUUCUGAGAGAUUUGCAUCCACUGCCAGAUGAUCCUCACUGUGAAGUUUCAGACAAGUUGAAUUCUUUGAUCUGUGCCAUGUUUCCUUCAAUUUAAGAUUGAUUCAUAUGAGGUUCCUGGUCACAUUUUAAGGUAAGUCUCCUACCAUCCCCUCUUAUACUGUAAGGGAGUCUGGACUCUGGACUGUAUGUGGCUUAAAAAGUAACCCAACCAUUGGCAAGGGUUUUUCAGGGCACAGUUUUGGCCCUCGGCAUCACUUGUAAACAAACAUUCAGAACUUUACCUCCUUCCAAAUACACUAUCAGACCUUUGCACAUUUGAAAAUGUGGUGGCAGUUGGCUGUGGCCCUUUGGAUCAAGCCUCUGCAAGUCUCUUUAGAAGUCCUUUCAUGCUGGGAAGAGGUUCGAAGUUUGGAAGGUCUAAGAAGAGUCUUCUCAAAUAGCUUGAAAGAUAAAAACAUAAGAUGACACAGAAGUCCCCUCCUUCCCUGGUCCCAAGUUUCUGUCCAGGAGGAAAAAAAUGAAGCGCAGAGG